rnacentral:rRNA from 1 species
UACGUAGGUGGCAAGCGUUGUCCGGAUUUACUGGGCGUAAAGAGCGCGCAGGCGGUCGGAUAAGUCGAAUGUGAAAGCCCCCGGCUCAACUGGGGAGGGUCAUUCGAUACUGUUCGACUCGAAGGCAGGAGAGGGAAGUGGAAUUCCCGGUGUAGUGGUGAAAUGCGUAGAUAUCUGGAGGAACACCGGUGGCGAAGGCGGCAUCCUGGACCAAUACUGACGCUGAGGAGCGAAAGCCAGGGGAGCAAACGGG